rnacentral:rRNA from 1 species
GUACGCACCCUGGCAUCUCUAGUUAUGUGGGAACUUUGGAAGCAUCGAAACGCGAUAGUCUUUGAUAGGGCGACCCCCUCAGCUAAUGUCGUGCUUGCUAGGGUGGAGAGUGAGGCCCGAGAUUGGAAAGCGGCAGGAUUGCUCAAGGGUGACCUGACGCCCUUCCUUGGGUCUUUAGCUAGGUGGGUGGCGGGCGAGUAG